GACGAACGCUGGCGGCGAGCUUAACACAUGCAAGUCGAACGGAAAGGCCCUGCUUUUGUGGGGUGCUCGAGUGGCGAACGGGUGAGUAGCACGUGAGUAACCUGCCCUUGACUUUGGGAUAACUUCAGGAAACUGGGGCUAAUACCGGAUAGGAGCUCCUGCUGCAUGGUGGGGGUUGGAAAGUUUCGGCGGUUGGGGAUGGACUCGCGGCUUAUCAGCUUGUUGGUGGGGUAGUGGCUUACCAAGGCUUUGACGGGUAGCCGGCCUGAGAGGGUGACCGGCCACAUUGGGACUGAGAUACGGCCCAGACUCCUACGGGAGGCAGCAGUGGGGAAUAUUGCACAAUGGGCGGAAGCCUGAUGCAGCAACGCCGCGUGCGGGAUGACGGCCUUCGGGUUGUAAACCGCUUUCGCCUGUGACGAAGCGUGAGUGACGGUAAUGGGUAAAGAAGCACCGGCUAACUACGUG
rnacentral:rRNA from 1 species